AUUGAACGCUGGCGGCAGGCUUAACACAUGCAAGUCGAGCGGAGAUGAGGUGCUUGCACCUUAUCUUAGCGGCGGACGGGUGAGUAAUGCUUAGGAAUCUGCCUAUUAGUGGGGGACAACAUUCCGAAAGGAAUGCUAAUACCGCAUACGUCCUACGGGAGAAAGCAGGGGAUCUUCGGACCUUGCGCUAAUAGAUGAGCCUAAGUCGGAUUAGCUAGUUGGUGGGGUAAAGGCCUACCAAGGCGACGAUCUGUAGCGGGUCUGAGAGGAUGCACCGCCACACUGGGACUGAGACACGGCCCAGACUCCUACGGGAGGCAGCAGUGGGGAAUAUUGGACAAUGGGGGGAACCCUGAUCCAGCCAUGCCGCGUGUGUGAAGAAGGCCUUAUGGUUGUAAAGCACUUUAAGCGAGGAGGAGGCUACUGAGACUAAUACUCUUGGAUAGUGGACGUUACUCGCAGAAUAAGCACCGGCUAACUCUGUGCCAGCCGCCGCGGUAAUAC
rnacentral:rRNA from 1 species